rnacentral:rRNA from 1 species
GGACUACCCGGGUAUCUAAUCCUGUUCGCUACCCACGCUUUCGUGCCUCAACGUCAGAAAUGAGCCAAGAAGCUGCCUUCGCCAUUGGUGUUCCUCCCGAGAUCCACGCAUUUUACCGCUACUCCGGGAAUUCCACUUCUCUCUCUCACCCUCUAGUCCGCCAGUUUUCAUCGCAACCCUCCAGUUAGGCCGGAGUCUUUAACGACAAACUUAACAAACCGUCUACGCACCCUUUACGCCCAGUGAUUCCGAAUAACGCUCGCACCCUUCGUAUUACCGCGGCGGCUGGCAC